GAUGAACGCUAGCUACAGGCUUAACACAUGCAAGUCGAGGGGAAACGGCAUUGAGUGCUUGCACUCUUUGGACGUCGACCGGCGCACGGGUGAGUAACGCGUAUCCAACCUUCCCAUUACUGUGGGAUAACCUGCCGAAAGGCAGACUAAUACCGCAUAGUCUUCGAUGACGGCAUCAGAUUUGAAGUAAAGAUUUAUCGGUAAUGGAUGGGGAUGCGUCUGAUUAGCUUGUUGGCGGGGUAACGGCCCACCAAGGCUACGAUCAGUAGGGGUUCUGAGAGGAAGGUCCCCCACAUUGGAACUGAGACACGGUCCAAACUCCUACGGGAGGCAGCAGUGAGGAAUAUUGGUCAAUGGACGGAAGUCUGAACCAGCCAAGUAGCGUGCAGGAUGACGGCCCUAUGGGUUGUAAACUGCUUUUGUAUGGGGAUAAAGCUAGGGACGUGUCCCUAUUUGCAGGUACCAUACGAAUAAGGACCGGCUAAUUCCGUG
rnacentral:rRNA from 1 species